rnacentral:rRNA from 1 species
CGACCUGGCUUACACCGGUUUAAACUCAGAUCAUGUAAAAUUUUAAAGGUCGAACAGACCUAAUUUACCAGCUACUGCACCAGUAAUUAAUUUUAAUCCAACAUCGAGGUCGCAAUCUAUUCUUUUGAUAUGAACUCUAAGAAAAAUUACGCUGUUAUCCCUAAGGUAAUUUAAUCUUUAAAUCUAAAAUUUAGGAUCAUAAACCUACAAAUCAAUAUAAAAAUAUAGAAAAGUUAAACCAAUUUUCCUGUCACCCCAACAAAAUAAACAAAAAUAACACAAAAUCUAAUAUCCCUAGAACUUAAUAUUAAAUCUAUCUAUAAAACUCUAUAGGGUCUUCACGACUUCCAUAAAUAUUUAAGCUUUUUCACUUAAAAAUAAAAUUUUAAUAAACWUUUCCAGAGACAGCUAUUUUUUCAUUAAACCWUACAUACAAGCWUUCAAUUAAAAAACUAGUGAUUAUGCUACCUUUGCACGGUCAAAAUACCGCGGCCAU